rnacentral:rRNA from 1 species
AUGGCCAUCCCCCAACAUUCCUUCAUGCUCGUUGUAGUCACCCGCUCCGAGUCGCUCAACCUUAGGGCGGCCAUCGGCGCCACCAAGCUCGCCAGCACGCUCGUCUCGCUAGACGGCACCAUGGUGAUCACCUUCUACAUAGGUGUGGUCUUCAACUUCAUCCAGGUCACCGUGCAGGGCAACCUCGCCGGCUAG